GGUGAGAUGGCCGAGUGGUUAUGGCGCUGCGUUCAGGUAAACUCUGAACUUGAUAUCUGUAUGAUAUCACGAAUAAUUCGCAGUGGAGCAAUCCGCGUGGGUUCGAGUCCCACUCUCAUCA